rnacentral:rRNA from 1 species
GACGAACGCUGGCGGCGUGCCUAAUACAUGCAAGUAGAGCGAUGAAGAGAGGAGCUUGCUCUUCUUGGGUUAGUUGCGAACGGGUGAGUAACGCGUAGGUAACCUGCCUUGUAGCGGGGGAUAACUAUUGGAAACGAUAGCUAAUACCGCAUAACAAAUGAUGACACAUGUCAUUUAUUUGAAAGGGGCAAUUGCUCCACUACAAGAUGGACCUGCGUUGGAUUAGCUAGUAGGUGAGGGAAUGGCUCACCUAAGCGACGAUACAUAACCGACCUGGGAGGGUGGUACGCCCAAACGGGAACGAGACACCGGUCCGACUUCCACGGGAGGGAGGCGUAGGGAAUUCUUGGCCAUGGGGGGAAAGCUGAACGGGCAAAGCCGCGUGAGGGAAGAAGGUUUUUCGGUCGUUAAGCUUUGUUGAAAGUCAAGAAAGGGUGUGGGAGGGGAAAGUUCACGCUGUGACGGUAGCUAACCAGAAAGCCACGGCUAACUACGUG